rnacentral:rRNA from 1 species
AAACUUUGCAAUGUGCGCAAGCACGACAAGGUUAAUCCGAGUGAUUCCUGCUAAAGGAAUCUUUUGUUAGUUGUAAAACCACUGAUGAAUAAGGGGUGGGCAAGUUCUGGUGUCAGCCGCCGCGGUAAAACCAGCACCUCAAGUGGUCAGGAGGAUUAUUGGGCCUAAAGCAUCCGUAGCCUGCUCUGUAAGUUUUCGGUUAAAUCCAUCUGCUCAACAGAUGGGCCGCCGAAAAAACUGCAAAGCUAGGGAGUGGGAGAGGUAGACGGUACUCGAUAGGAAGGGGUAAAAUCCUUUGAUCUAUUGAUGACCCCCUGUGGCGAAGGCGGUCUACCAGAACACGUUCGACGGUGAGGGAUGAAAGCUGGGGGAGCAAACCGGAUUAGAUACCCGGGUAGUCCCAGCUGUAAACGAUGCAGACUCGGUGAUGCCCUGGCUUGUGGCCAGUGCAGUGCCGCAGGGAAGCCGUUAAGUUUGCCGCCUGGGAAGUACGUACGCAAGUAUGAAACUUAAAGGAAUUGGCGGGGGAGCAC